UACGGAGAGGGCUAGCGUUAUUCGGAAUUAUUGGGCGUAAAGGGCGCGUAGGCUGAUUAAUAAGUUAAAAGUGAAAUCCCGAGGCUUAACCUUGGAAUUGCUUUUAAAACUAUUAAUCUAGAGAUUGAAAGAGGAUAGAGGAAUUCCUGAUGUAGAGGUAAAAUUCGUAAAUAUUAGGAGGAACACCAGUGGCGAAGGCGUCUAUCUGGUUCAAAUCUCACGCUGAGGCGCGAAGGCGUGGGGAGCAAACA
rnacentral:rRNA from 1 species